CCCGGCACAAGCGGCGGAGCAUGUGGAUUAAUUCGAUGCAACGCGAAGAACCUUACCUGGGUUUGACAUACACCGGAAAACCGUAGAGAUACGGUCCCCCUUGUGGUCGGUGUACAGGUGGUGCAUGGCUGUCGUCAGCUCGUGUCGUGAGAUGUUGGGUUAAGUCCCGCAACGAGCGCAACCCUUGUCUUAUGUUGCCAGCACGUGAUGGUGGGGACUCGUAAGAGACUGCCGGGGUCAACUCGGAGGAAGGUGGGGACGACGUCAAGUCAUCAUGCCCCUUAUGUCCAGGGCUUCACACAUGCUACAAUGGCCAGUACAGAGGGCUGCGAGACCGUGAGGUGGAGCGAAUCCCUUAAAGCUGGUCUCAGUUCGGAUCGGGGUCUGCAACUCGACCCCGUGAAGUCGGAGUCGCUAGUAAUCGCAGAUCAGCAACGCUGCGGUGAAUACGUUCCCGGGCCUU
rnacentral:rRNA from 1 species